AAAAAUCUGAAAAUAAUAAAGAUCUGUAUUGCGCAUCUAGAGCAUUUCUCCUGACAGCUGAGAAGGAACAAAUUUCCAAAGGCUCAAUUUUUUUCAGAAGCACCCAGAAGUCUGGCACCUUAGCCUGACCCUUUUCUUGGAACCACAUAGACUGUGCACCUACCUGUGGAUGCUUGCCUGUUCUGCGCAGCCAUAUGUCACUUGGGAGCUUUGCUUUAAGGUACAGGUAACACUUCCUUGCUAACACAAAAACAUCCUGAAGGAUGAGAAGCCAGUCUAAAGGU
rnacentral:lncRNA from 1 species